UACGGAGGGUGCGAGCGUUAAUGGGAAUUACUGGGCGUAAAGGGUGCGUAGGUUGUUGGCUAAGUUAUCUGUGAAAUGCCUGGGCUUAACCUGGGCCUGUCAGAUAAGACUGGUUGACUCGAGUAUAGGAGAGGGUAGUGGAAUUUCCGGUGUAGCGGUGAAAUGCGUAGAGAUCGGAAGGAACAUCGGUGGCGAAGGCGGCUACCUGGCCUGAUACUGACACUGAGGCACGAAAGCGUGGGGAGCAAACAGG
rnacentral:rRNA from 1 species